rnacentral:rRNA from 1 species
AGUGAACGCUGGCGGUAGGCCUAACACAUGCAAGUCGAACGGCAGCACAGGAGAGCUUGCUCUCUGGGUGGCGAGUGGCGGACGGGUGGGGAAUACAUCGGAAUCUACUCUGUCGUGGGGGAUAACGUAGGGAAACUUACGCUAAUACCGCAUACGACCUACGGGUGAAAGCAGGGGACCUUCGGGCCUUGCGCGAUUGAAUGAGCCGAUGUCGGAUUAACUAGUUGGCGGGGUAAAGGCCCACCAAGGCGACGAUCCGUAGCUGGUCUGGGAGGAUGAUCAGCCACACUGGAACUGAGACACGGUCCAGACUCCUACGGGAGGCAGCAGUGGGGAAUAUUGGACAAUGGGCGCAAGCCUGAUCCAGCCAUACCGCGUGGGUGAAGAAGGCCUUCGGGUUGUAAAGCCCUUUUGUUGGGAAAGAAAUCCAGCUGGCUAAUACCCGGUUGGGAUGACGGUACCCAAAGAAUAAGCACCGGCUAACUUCGUGCCAGCCGCCGCAGUAA